GGGUUGUGAGGUUAAGCGACUAAGCGUACACGGUGGAUGCCCUGGCAGUCAGAGGCGAUGAAGGACGUGCUAAUCUGCGAAAAGCGUCGGUAAGGUGAUAUGAACCGUUAUAGCCGGCGAUGUCCGAAUGGGGAAACCCAGUGCAAUUCGUUGCACUAUCGUUUGAUGAAUACAUAGUCAAACGAGGCGAACCGGGGGAACUGAAACAUCUAAGUACCCCGAGGAAAAGAAAUCAACCGAGAUUCCCCCAGUAGCGGCGAGCGAACGGGGAGCAGCCCGGAGUCUGAAUCAGCUUGUGUGUUAGUGGAAGCGUCUGGAAAGUCGCAGGGUACAGGGUGAUACUCCCGUACACUAAAACACACAGGCUGUGAACUCGAAGAGUAGGGCGGGACACGUGGUAUCCUGUCUGAAUAUGGGGGGACCAUCCUCCAAGGCUAAAUACUCCUGACUGACCGAUAGUGAACCAGUACCGUGAGGGAAAGGCGAAAAGAACCCCGGCGAGGGGAGUGAAAAAGAACCUGAAACCGUGUACGUACAAGCAGUAGGAGCCUCUUUAUGGGGUGACUGCGUACCUUUUGUAUAAUGGGUCAGCGACUUAUAUUCUGUAGCAAGGUUAACCGUAUAGGGGAGCCGCAGGGAAACCGAGUCUUAACUGGGCGUUAAGUUGCAGGGUAUAGACCCGAAACCCGGUGAUCUAGCCAUGGGCAGGUUGAAGGUUGGGUAACACUAACUGGAGGACCGAACCGACUAAUGUUGAAAAAUUAGCGGAUGACUUGUGGCUGGGGGUGAAAGGCCAAUCAAACCGGGAGAUAGCUGGUUCUCCCCGAAAGCUAUUUAGGUAGCGCCUCGUGAAUUCAUCUUCGGGGGUAGAGCACUGUUUCGGCUAGGGGGUCAUCCCGACUUACCAACCCGAUGCAAACUACGAAUACCGAAGAAUGUUAUCACGGGAGACACACGGCGGGUGCUAACGUCCGUCGUGAAGAGGGAAACAACCCAGACCGCCAGCUAAGGUCCCAAAGUCAUGGUUAAGUGGGAAACGAUGUGGGAAGGCCCAGACAGCCAGGAUGUUGGCUUAGAAGCAGCCAUCAUUUAAAGAAAGCGUAAUAGCUCACUGGUCGAGUCGGCCUGCGCGGAAGAUGUAACGGGGCUAAACCAUGCACCGAAGCUGCGGCAGCGACACUAUGUGUUGUUGGGUAGGGGAGCGUUCUGUAAGCCGUCGAAGGUGGCCUGUGAGGGUUGCUGGAGGUAUCAGAAGUGCGAAUGCUGACAUAAGUAACGAUAAUGCGGGUGAAAAACCCGCACGCCGGAAGACCAAGGGUUCCUGUCCAACGUUAAUCGGGGCAGGGUGAGUCGACCCCUAAGGCGAGGCCGAAAGGCGUAGUCGAUGGGAAACAGGUUAAUAUUCCUGUACUCGGUGUUACUGCGAAGGGGGGACGGAGAAGGCUAUGUUGGCCGGGCGACGGUUGUCCCGGUUUAAGCAUGUAGGCGGAUGUUCCAGGUAAAUCCGGAACGUUACUAACGCUGAGGUGUGAUGACGAGGCACUACGGUGCUGAAGUGACAAAUGCCCUGCUUCCAGGAAAAGCCUCUAAGCAUCAGGUAACAUCAAAUCGUACCCCAAACCGACACAGGUGGUCAGGUAGAGAAUACCAAGGCGCUUGAGAGAACUCGGGUGAAGGAACUAGGCAAAAUGGUGCCGUAACUUCGGGAGAAGGCACGCUGAUAGGUAGGUGAAGUGGUUUACCCAUGGAGCUGAAAUCAGUCGAAGAUACCAGCUGGCUGCAACUGUUUAUUAAAAACACAGCACUGUGCAAACACGAAAGUGGACGUAUACGGUGUGACGCCUGCCCGGUGCCGGAAGGUUAAUUGAUGGGGUUAUCCGUAAGGAGAAGCUCUUGAUCGAAGCCCCGGUAAACGGCGGCCGUAACUAUAACGGUCCUAAGGUAGCGAAAUUCCUUGUCGGGUAAGUUCCGACCUGCACGAAUGGCGUAAUGAUGGCCAGGCUGUCUCCACCCGAGACUCAGUGAAAUUGAACUCGCUGUGAAGAUGCAGUGUACCCGCGGCAAGACGGAAAGACCCCGUGAACCUUUACUAUAGCUUGACACUGAACACUGGUCCUUGAUGUGUAGGAUAGGUGGGAGGCUUUGAAGUGUGGACGCCAGUCUGCAUGGAGCCAUCCUUGAAAUACCACCCUUUAAUGGCUGGUGUUCUAACGUGGGCCCGUUAUCCGGGUUGCGGACAGUGUCUGGUGGGUAGUUUGACUGGGGCGGUCUCCUCCUAAAGAGUAACGGAGGAGCACGAAGGUCAGCUAAUCCUGGUCGGACAUCAGGAGGUUAGUGCAAUGGCAUAAGCUGGCUUGACUGCGAGCGUGACGGCGCGAGCAGGUGCGAAAGCAGGUCAUAGUGAUCCGGUGGUUCUGAAUGGAAGGGCCAUCGCUCAACGGAUAAAAGGUACUCCGGGGAUAACAGGCUGAUACCGCCCAAGAGUUCAUAUCGACGGCGGUGUUUGGCACCUCGAUGUCGGCUCAUCACAUCCUGGGGCUGAAGUAGGUCCCAAGGGUAUGGCUGUUCGCCAUUUAAAGUGGUACGCGAGCUGGGUUUAGAACGUCGUGAGACAGUUCGGUCCCUAUCUGCCGUGGGCGCUGGAGAAUUGAGGGGGGCUGCUCCUAGUACGAGAGGACCGGAGUGGACGCAUCACUGGUGUUCGGGUUGUCAUGCCAAUGGCAUUGCCCGGUAGCUAAAUGCGGAAGAGAUAAGUGCUGAAAGCAUCUAAGCACGAAACUUGCCCCGAGAUGAGUUCUCCCUGACUCCUUGAGAGUCCUGAAGGAACGUUGAAGACGACGACGUUGAUAGGCCGGGUGUGUAAGCGCAGCGAUGCGUUGAGCUAACCGGUACUAAUGAACCGUGAGGCUUAACCUUACAACGCCGAAG
rnacentral:rRNA from 1 species